rnacentral:rRNA from 1 species
AUUGAACGCUGGCGGCAUGCUUUACACAUGCAAGUCGAACGGUAACAGGUUAAGCUGACGAGUGGCGAACGGGUGAGUAAUGCAUCGGAACGUGCCCGGUCGUGGGGGAUAACGCAGCGAAAGCUACGCUAAUACCGCAUACGAUCUGAGGAUGAAAGCGGGGGACCGUAAGGCCUCGCGCGAUUGGAGCGGCCGAUAUCAGAUUAGGUAGUUGGUGGGGUAAAGGCUCACCAAGCCGACGAUCUGUAGCUGGUCUGAGAGGACGACCAGCCACACUGGGACUGAGACACGGCCCAGACUCCUACGGGAGGCAGCAGUGGGGAAUUUUGGACAAUGGGCGCAAGCCUGAUCCAGCAAUGCCGCGUGCAGGAUGAAGGCCUUCGGGUUGUAAACUGCUUCUGUACGGAACGAAACGGCGAGCUCUAAUACAGUUUGCUAAUGACGGUACCGUAAGAAUAAGCACCGGCUAACUACGUGCCAGCCGCCGCGGUAA